rnacentral:lncRNA from 1 species
GGCCGUGUUCGAGUUUGUAGGACGUGAGGUGGUGACUGAGGAGGUUGAGGUUGAGGCCGUGUGAGCGGAGGAUGGGCUCGUGGCAGAGAUUGAGGUCAAGGCCGUGCCUGAGGAUGAUGGACUGGAGGCCGUGACGGAGGAUGUGGAAGUCGAGGCAGUGACGAAGGAGGUUGGGGUGGAGUCGGUGCCCGUAGGGUCUGAGUUUGAGUGGAGUGAAGUGGAGUAUUGCUUGGAGAGAUUGAUAGAGAAUUGUAGACUCGUGGCGGUUAAGUAAUUUUCGGCCGUGGCUGUGACUGAGGAUACUGGACUCGAAGCCUUGACUGUGUAUAUGGAUUUUGAGGCAGUGACAGUGGGGUUUGAGAUUGAGGCAGUUUCAGAGGAGGAUGGGCUCACGCUGGUGACAGAGGAUUCUUUACUUGAGGCUUCUGCAGAAGUGUUUGGGCUUGAAGCAGAAGUGUUGGAGGUCAAGGUCGUGGUUGUUGUUGUUGUGCUGCUGGCACCUGUGGACACAGUGAGCGUGGCUCAGCCGUGGGUCCUCCCCUGCAGUCGUGGUUCGUCGGAAUUGGGCGAUAACAUCUCCCCUCCCUUCCCUUCUCUGGAACCCUCGUUAUCGCGGCUUUAUCUCCAGGUCACGGCCUCGUGUGAUCCGUUCCCCACCCCAUCCCAUCCCGCGCCCGCCUUUCCCCUUUGCCUCCUUCAGCCUCUCCUGUGUCCUUGCCCCCCUACACCCUCUUCCUCCCUCUCACUUUCUUCCCACGCCUUUCCUGUGCCCGUUUGCACGUCCCUCACGUGUGCACACUGUGUCAGGGCAAGGACACACGUGUGCAACCCUGGAGCCUUGGACAGGGACGAGGCUGGCCAGGAGGACCAAUUCUCGGCCUCCACUCUCCCUUGUCACUGCUGUCAUCCUGGGCUGGGGAGUCGUGGGGUGUCCCCAUCCCUCUCCCUGUCUGGGGUCCCAUCCCUGUCAAUGUCCAUGUCCCUGUCCCCGUCCCCAUCCCUGCCUCUGUCCCCGUUCCUGUCCUCAUUCCCAUCCCUGUCCCCAUCCUUGCCCCGUUCCCAUUCCCGUUCCUGUCCCUGUCCCCAUCUCCAUCCCUGUCCCCAUCCCUGUCCCCAUCCUUGUCUUUAUCCCCAUCACCAAUGUCCCUGUCCCCAUCCCCAGUGUCCCUUUCACCACCAGGACAGUGCCACCUCAGGCUGUGGAGGCCGAUUCCCCCCGAGCCUCCCCAACGCGCCCCCCGAGCA